rnacentral:rRNA from 1 species
GAUGAACGCUAGCUACAGGCUUAACACAUGCAAGUCGCAGGGUAACAUGAGGAAAGCUUGCUUUCCUUGAUGACGACUGGCGCACGGGUGAGUAACGCGUAUCCAACCUUCCCAUAACUACGGGAUAACCCGUUGAAAGACGGCCUAAUACCGUAUGAUAUCGUUUGCUGACAUCAAAUAACGAUUAAAGGUUUAGCGGUUAUGGAUGGGGAUGCGUCUGAUUAGCUUGUUGGCGGGGUAACGGCCCACCAAGGCGACGAUCAGUAGGGGUUCUGAGAGGAAGGUCCCCCACAUUGGAACUGAGACACGGUCCAAACUCCUACGGGAGGAAGCAGUGAGGAAGAUUGGUCAAUGGGCGAGAGCCUGAACCAGCCAAGUAGCGUGCAGGACGACGGCCCUAUGGGUUGUAAACUGCUUUUAUGUGGGGAUAAAGUGCGUGACGUGUCAUGCAUUGCAGGUACCACAUGAAUAAGGACCGGCUAAUUCCGUG